UACGGGGGGAGCAAGCGUUGUUCGGAUUUACUGGGCGUAAAGGGCGCGUAGGCGGUCAGCACAAGUCAGUUGUGAAAUCUCCGGGCUUAACCCGGAAAGGUCAACUGAUACUGUGCGACUAGAGUGCAGAAGGGGCAACUGGAAUUCUCGGUGUAGCGGUGAAAUGCGUAGAUAUCGAGAGGAACACCUGCGGCGAAGGCGGGUUGCUGGGCUGACACUGACGCUGAAGUGCGAAAGCUAGGGGAGCGAACGGG
rnacentral:rRNA from 1 species